AUUGAACGCUGGCGGCAGGCUUAACACAUGCAAGUCGAGCGGAGAUGAGGUGCUUGCACCUUAUCUUAGCGGCGGACGGGUGAGUAAUGCUUAGGAAUCUGCCAUUUAGUGGGGGACAACAUUCCGAAAGGAAUGCUAAUACCGCAUACGUCCUACGGGAGAAAGCAGGGGAUCUUCGGACCUUGCGCUAAAUGAUGAGCCUAAGUCGGAUUAGCUAGUUGGUGGGGUAAAGGCCUACCAAGGCGACGAUCUGUAGCGGGUCUGAGAGGAUGAUCCGCCACACUGGGACUGAGACACCGCCCAGACUCCUACGGGAGGCAGCAGUGGGGAAUAUUGGACAAUGGGCGGAAGCCUGAUCCAGCCAUGCCGCGUGUGUGAAGAAGGCCUUUUGGUUGUAAAGCACUUUAAGCGAGGAGGAGGCUACCUGGAUUAAUACUCUGGGAUAGUGGACGUUACUCGCAGAAUAAGCACCGGCUAACUCUGUGCCAGCCGCCGCCGUAA
rnacentral:rRNA from 1 species